GAUGAACGCUGGCGGCGUGCCUAAUACAUGCAAGUCGAGCGAACAGACGAGGAGCUUGCUCCUCUGACGUUAGCGGCGGACGGGUGAGUAACACGUGGAUAACCUACCUAUAAGACUGGGAUAACUUCGGGAAACCGGAGCUAAUACCGGAUAAUAUAUUGAACCGCAUGGUUCAAUAGUGAAAGACGGUUUUGCUGUCACUUAUAGAUGGAUCCGCGCCGCAUUAGCUAGUUGGUAAGGUAACGGCUUACCAAGGCGACGAUGCGUAGCCGACCUGAGAGGGUGAUCGGCCACACUGGAACGUAGACACGGUCCAGACUCCUACGGGAGGCAGCAGUAGGGAAUCUUCCGCAAUGGGCGAAAGCCUGACGGAGCAACGCCGCGUGAGUGAUGAAGGUCUUCGGAUCGUAAAACUCUGUUAUUAGUGAAGAACAAAUGUGUAAGUAACUAUGCACGUCUUGACGGUACCUAAUCAGAAAGCCACGGCUAACUACGUG
rnacentral:rRNA from 1 species